UUUGACACAGUCUGGCCGUGUGCUGCGUCUGUUGCUCUUUGUACAAUACUAAGAACAGGGGGAAACCACACGGUGGGCGCUGAGUUCCGAACAGCGUCUGGCUACUCACCCACACCGCUUCUCUGGCAGGUUCUGGCGGCUCCUGCAGCAGAAGACAAGGGAGACCGCUAGAGGGCUCCCCGCCCAGACUGUUUAUAGGGAUAAAACCCGGGCAAAUCUGUUUGUCUGCGUAUGAGCUAGAAUUUCUUACAGGUGUCUGCGGAGGUUUGCAGCCCGAGGCUCUCACUUCAGCGGACUCGCCCGAGCUGUCCGAGCUCCGUUGGGUCAGCGGCAGGACUGGAGAUAUUUGAGACCUUCCAAAUGAUUAAACGAGUCUUCCUCGCGCUGGUCCUGGCGCCGUGCGCCCUUUCCCAGCUGCAGCUGGUGGCCUCCGGCCCUGGGGUGGGCAAAGUCUCCGAGCCCCUCACACUGACCUGCGCUGUCUCCGGGUUCUCCAUCAAUACUCAGUAUUACUACUGGCACUGGCUCCGCCAGCCUCCCGGAGAAGGGCUGGAAUCCAUGGGACGGGUAUAUCCAUAUAACGGGGACACGAGCUACGCCCCGUCCCUCCAAGGCCGAAUCACCAUCUCUGCAGACACCGCCAGGAACCAGUUCUCCCUGCAGCUCCGCUCGCUGACAGCUGCAGACACCGGUACCUAUUACUGCGCCAGGAAAGACACGGUGACACAGAGACAGGGGGCCUGGGACAAAAAGGGGGCCAGCCACACGUUUCACCUCCCGGAGAGAUGGUGCCUGAGUUUGCCCCUGCGCUCCGCCCCCUCCCGCUGUCACUUGAAGGAGACGCUUUGUCAGAGGCCACCAGGAAACUGCAGAGAAGGAGAGAAAGAGGAAGCACCUGCGCGUUUGAAUGGGCCGGAGAGAGACUUUGUUACAGGCACCUGA